UAGGGAAUCUUCCGCAAUGGACGAAAGUCUGACGGAGCAACGCCGCGUGAGUGAAGAAGGAUUUCGGUUCGUAAAACUCUGUUGUUAGGGAAGAAAAAAUGUAUAGUAACUAUAUACAAAAGAGACGGUACCUAACCAGAAAGCCACGGCUAACUACGUGCCAGCAGCCGCGGUAAUACGUAGGUGGCAAGCGUUGUCCGGAAUUAUUGGGCGUAAAGCGCUCGCAGGUGGUUUAGAAAGUCUGAUGUGAAAGCCCACGGCUCAACCGUGGAGGGUCAUUGGAAACUAAUAAACUUGAGUGCAGGAGAGAAAAGUGGAAUUCCUAGUGUAGCGGUGAAAUGCGUAGAGAUUAGGAGGAACACCGGUGGCGAAAGCGGCUUUUUGGCCUGCAACUGACACUGAGGCGCGAAAGCGUGGGGAGCAAACAGG
rnacentral:rRNA from 1 species